rnacentral:tRNA from 1 species
CGGGCUGUGGCUCAGUUGGCUAGAGCGUCUGCUUUGGGAGCAGAAGGUCGCGAGUUCGAGUCUCGCCAGCCCGA